UGAUGUUACUGGAACUGCAAUGUCCUAC
rnacentral:piRNA from 1 species